AAGUCGUAACAAGGUUUCCGUAGGUGAACCUGCGGAAGGAUCAUUACCGAGAGUGACGGACGCCGGCGGCGCCGUCCUGGGGGCCCCGCCCCCGACCUCUUCAACCCUGUGAAUAUUUGCCCUUGUUGCUUCGGCGAGCGUCGAGGCCUUUCGCGCCUCGGCCCCGGCUCCGGCCGGUGAGCUCUCGCCCGAGGCCCUCUCCAUUCGGCUCUACAGUGACGUCCGAGGAUUUGCAAUCAAUAUCAAAACUUUCAACAACGGAUCUCUUGGUUCUG
rnacentral:misc_RNA from 1 species